CUUCCAAGAUGUCUAAGGCAUACUUCCUUUGUAACAUAACCACACCUGAACUGGAUUGAGCUAUUUCAAGUCCCAGAAAGUACUUGAGUUUGCCCAAGUCUUUAGUUUGAAAGUGAUUGAAAAGGUGUUGCUUUAGUCUUUGAAUACCCUCUUGAUCACUGCCUGUAAUGACAAUGUCAUCCACAAAAACUACCAAAUAGAUGCACUGACUUGAAGAAUUAUGAUGAUAGAAAAUUGAAUGAUCUGCUUCACUCCGAAGCAUUCCAAACUCUUAAACAACUGAACUAAAACGGCCAAACCAUGCCCAAGGAGACUGUUUCAAGCCAUAUAGAGAGCGGCGUAACUUGCACACUAAACUAGACUCCCCUUGAGCAACAAAACCAGGUGGUUGCUCUAUAUACACUUCCUCGAGAAGUUCACUAUGAAGGAAAACAUUCUUAAUAUCCAACUGAUAAAGAGGCCAAUGACACAUAGCUGCCAUGGAGAGAAAUAAGAGAACAUAAGCAAUCUUGGCAACAGGAGAGAAUGUGUCACCAUAGUCACAACCAUAAAUUUGAGUAUAACCUUUAGCAACCAAGCGGGCCUUAAGGCAAUCAACCUGACCAUCAGGACCAACUUUAACAGUGUAGACCCAACGACAUCCAAUUGUAAAUUGACUAGGAGGUAAAGAAACAAGAUCCCAUGUGCCAUUGGAGUGCAGAGUAGCCAUUUCAUCAACCAUUGCAUGUCGCCACCCAGGAUGAGAAAGUGCCUCAUUAGUGCUCUUAGGAAGAGAAACAGAAUAUAAAGUAGAGACAAAGGCAGAAUAGGAUGAAGAUAAUCGAUAGUAGCUCAAAAAAUUAUAAAUAGGAUGAGGAUUACUAGUAGAUCGAUUACCUUUCCGAAGAGCAAUAGGCAAAUGGUGAAUAGAUAACAGGGUCAAGGUAGGAGAAAUCGAUGGGACAGGAGGUGAGUUCAGGUACCUCAGCUAAAGAGAGAGGAGGAGCAACAACAUGAUGUCGACGAUGAUAAACCUAAAGAGGACGAGAGAGCGCAUCUGAAGGGGGGAAUAUAUAGGGAAGUGGCAAUACUUCAGAAAUGGGAAGAGAUUCAGAGGAUGAGAAGAAUGGAGAGUCCUCAAUGAAGGUGACAUCAGCAGAGAGAAAAUAACGAUGAGUGUCAGGGGAAUAACAACGAUAGCCCUUCUGAAGUCUAGAGUAUCCCAAGAAGAUGCAUUUCGUAGCCUUGGUGGAGAGUUUGUCCUGUCCAGGUGUGAGAGUAUGAACAAAACAAGUACAACCAAAGACACGAGGAGGAAAAAAAUAAAGAGGUUGCGUAGGAAAAAGGAGGGAAUGAGGGAUUUGGUCAUGUGAUAUAGAUGAGGGCAUACGAUUAAUCAAGUAACAGGCUGUAAGAACAGCAUCCCCCCAAAAACGAAAAGGAGCAUGACUAUGGAGAAGGAGGGUACGAGCUAUCUCAACAAGAUGUCGAUUUUUACGUUCAGCAACCCCAUUUUGUUGAGAAGUAUGAGCACAAGAUGAUUGAUGGAAGAUCCCAUGUUGGGACAUAAAAGAAGUAAAGGGUGUAGAAAAAUAUUCCCGAGCAUUGUCACUACGUAACACUCGAAUAGAAACAUUGAAUUGUGUUUGGAUUUCAGCAUAAAAUUUCUGGAAAAUAGAGAAUAACUCAACUUGAUUUUUCAUUAAAAAUAACCAAAUACAUCUUGAAUAAUCAUCAAUGAAAGUGACAAAAUACUGAAAUCCUAAAGUAGACGCGGUCCAAUACGGACCCCAAAUAUCAGUGUGGACAAGUUCAAAAGGAAACUUUGCCCGAUUAUUCAAACGCUUUGGGAACGAGAUACGAGUAUGUUUCCCAAGAUGACACGACUCACACGCAAGCGACGACAAAGUGGAAAAACGAGGGACCAUCUUCUGGAACUUGGAGAGACUAGGAUGACCCAGACGAUUGUGAAUGAGAAGAGGAGCAUCAGUGGAAAUGCAAGCUGCAGGAAAUGAAGGUGAUGUGAGGUGAUAGAGGCCUUGAGACUCACGCUCUAUGCCAAUCGUCUUCCCCGUACUCCGGUCCUGCAAGAUCACAGAUUUAUCAGAAAAAGUGAUAGAACAGUUAAGAGCGCGAAUUGUUUUACUGAUGGAAAUAAGAUUAAAAGGACAAUCAGGGGCAUAAAGGACAAAAUGGAGAGGUAGGGAAGGGAGAGGAUGAGCCAAACCAAUACAUUUAGCCAUAGUUUGGGAACCAUUAGCUAAAGUAACGGUAGGUAAGACAGAGGUAGUAGUAAUAGAGGAGAAAAGGUGUUUAUUACUAGAUAUAUGAUCAGAUGUUCCAGAAUCUAGAAUACAUGGGCCAAGAGAAGGAGACUGAGUAAAGCAAACAGAGACAUUAUCGGUCUGAGCAACAGAAGUAACAGAAGUUGAUGUGGCUGCCUGAUAUCAGAGAUAGGCAUCAUAAUCACUACCAGUAAGGGUGAUACUUUGAGAUGUGGAGCUCGUAGCGGAGUCAGGUCGAGAUAGCAAAGGAUCGGAUGAUUGAGCAAUGUGGGCAGUGCAAGGAGGCCGUCCAUGUAACUGAUAGCAACGAUCUCGUGACCAAGCUUAUUACAAUAGGUGCACUGAGGAUGUUGUCCUCGACCCCGAUUGCCACUAUGUCCUCCUCGAAAGUUAGUCUGAGAGGCUAACACAGAUGAAUCUGACGAACCAUCAGUCGACAAGGUUUGAGUAGAGGAGAGGCGUAAGAGAUGAGCGAACACAUCAUCCAAUGAUGGUAUUGAUGGACUAGCAAGAAUCUGAUCUCGGACAGACUCAAAAUCUGGAUGAAGGCCAAUGAGGGUUAACACCAUAAAGAACUUGUCAGUUUGUAUUUGUUGAACUUCAGCACCAUUAGUGAAGGGCAUCAAAGUUAAGAACUCCUCCUUAAGAGACGCAAUCCGGCCAAUAUAAGUAGAUAGAUCCAUGUCCUGUUGUCUCAUAUGAACAACAUCAGAAACCACCUUAUAAAAUCGUUGAAUAUCAUUCGUGUAUAAUCCUUUAGCUUAAGUCCAAAAUUUAAAGCAGGUUUUGUAGGCACGAAGAUGAUGUAAAAUUUUGGGAUCAACAGAUUGCCAUAAUACGCUGCAUAAUUGUGCAUCGAUUUUCUUCCAUUGCACUUUGUCAACAUCAGGUAUAGCAUCCUCAGGUGUAACAAGAUGAUCCUCAUAACCUUGUCCCAUAAACCAGAGUUCCACGGACGCUGACCAAGAGAGAUAAUUCUCACUACCAAUCAAUUUUUCCGAUGUGAAAAGUUUUCUCCCUUGGCUUUGAUACCAUGUUGAAAGAGAGAGAGAGAAAACUUUAAUUCUCAUUCAUAUAUUAACUUCUUACAAUAGAGAAAUAUAUAUACAAGGCUAGAUUGAACUAACUACCAUAUAUGUGACCUAUAUUAAGAAAGGAAAGAAAGAUUGUACACUAUAAAUAUAUUAUAUUCAACACAAUGGACCCUAACUCCGCCUCAGACAUCACAUCUAUUUGGUGGGGGGAAAAAAUGUGGUAUCCCUAUCUGCAUCCAAUUCCUUUAUACUACCAGUAGGCAAUUGCAAUUGCAUAGGAAAAUGUUGACUUCACGUUCAAUCAGACAAUCAAUUUCUUCAAAUCCAAGAAUAAAGAUCAAUGGAUUGCAAGGAUUGAAAAUAAUGUGAACAACUUUUGGAAUCAAAAGAGUGACGAUGAUAAGGGUACAGUCAUACUUCUUGGUAUAACAUCACCCUUUUCUUCAACCAUUUUGGGUCACAAUUCAACAUACAAACCAUGUCACCAUAUUUUUUUACUAAGCAAUUGUCCACCCAGGCAGUCAAAGUACUAGAAUCAAAUGUAGUGAAUGAAAGAAAGUUAAAUUAAAAAUUCCAAUCAAAAAGAAAGUUAAAUUGAAAUCAGCAUGUCUGAUAAGGACCUGCAGUAUUUUGGAAUGAAAUUUUGUUUAUGCAAUCCUUUUAGGGUCCUUUAACAAUGGCAGGCAUUUGUCCAGAAAUGUGCAGAAUUUUCACUGAAAAUAGAUGAAGAGCCUAUCAACACGCAAGAGAGCGCCUACUUCAAAUACAUUUGUCAAUCAAAAUAACUUUCUCAGCCCAUGAGCCAAGUUUCUAAGAGCUAAGAGUUUAAAUCAGAAUCUAAGAGGUGAGAAUUGACUUUAACUCUGGUGAUAAAUAUAGACUCACUAAAGCAAAUGAGCAACAAGCCCACACAUGUGGCGAUGUACUAUGAAGGAGGAAAAGUUGGGCCAUCCAUGAAAGAGUGGUCUCAGAAAAAAGGUCUCCUAAACCAAAGCUUGAAAAGAUUAGAUAAUGAUCAAUUGAGUUGCCAAUGUUUCUCUUUUGGCUGUUAAUAUGGGAGACAAUAUAGACCAACUGUACUACCCUCCAAUAUAUCAAAGUUGGGCAUCAACCUCCCUGAAUUGUCAAUUAGUGAUUCAAUUCCUUGCCCAGGUACCAAAAUCCAGAUCUGAACUGUUAUUAGAAUUAAUAUGUAAUUUAAUAAUUAAAAGAAAUUACUAGGUUGAAAACUGACCUCCCAUUCAGAAGUUGUAAGAGGGAUGCUUGGAUCCAGCAUUGUUGUCACCACAUCGACAAAAGGUACUCUAGUAACAGCAGCCUUGAAUAAAUCUGGCCGCAUGUUAAGAACAGCACCGAUAAGCAACCCUCCUGCACUUCCUCCCUGAAUGCACAAUUUUUCCUUUGAACAGAACUUCAUCUCUAUUAGAUACUCAGCACAAGCAAUAAAAUCUGUAAAUGUAUUUCUCUUCUUCAACAACUUCCCAUUCUCAUACCACUGCCUCCCCAUUUCACCACCACCACGAAUGUGUGCUAUUGCAAAUAUAAAACCCCGAUCUAAUAGAGAGAGCCUUGAAGCUUUGAAACUUGGAUCUAUGCAAAUCUGUUGGCAACACAAGAUUCUGCAGCUCUAACAUACUUAAAAUAUAAAUCAUGAAAUACAGGUGAUAAACAACCAAAAAACCACACUUAAUGCCACUACACCAAUUUAUAGACAUGCUUAACAAGGGAUAUUAACAUGAAACAAUUAUGGAAAUGUUUUGUCCAAUUAUCGCAUUUACUAGUUUAUCAAUAUAUUUUCUGACAACUGAAAACCCUUUCUGAUAUGGCAACAGUUGUAUAAGAAAGGAUGGACAAAAGUGCUCAAAGAAUGUGACCAAGGAAGCUGAACCCUUUUAGGUUGUUGAAGCACCCGAAUAGGAGACGCACAAGAGAAUGGACAGAAGCAGAGAUAUAUUAUGCCAAAAAUAAGUAAAGUAUUCCUCAAAAAUAAUAAUUUAGCCAUAGGUAUGAGAAACCAGGGUGGAAUGGUUAAUUCCUUCUCUAGAUAAGAAAUUGCAAAAAUGUGACAUGCUAAUGCGUACAUAUAUAUAUAUAUAUAGAAAUAUAUAUAUAAUCUUAAAGCAGUAAUUUUGAUCUUUGGAAACACUAAAACACUUGAAAAUUAAAGAAACAUUAGUUUCGUUUUUAUUAUUAUUUAUUUAUUUAUUUAUUUUCUCCAAAAAAUGAUUUAUCUCGAGGAACAGGGUAGUAAAUCCUCUUGGCACAAGUAGAAGCAAGUUAAUUAAUCCACAAAAUUACAAGUUACCUCAUAUGAACCAUAGCCAUAAAGAAGUAAUGGAUCAGAUCCAUCAAGUUUCACAAGAUCCUUUCGGUAAACAAUUGAUAGAGGAAUUUGAGUGCCAUCUGAAGCAUUCGCCCAUUUCCUUUCAGUUAUAUAUUUUGAUGCAUCAAAAUCCCCCAAAACCUGAGCAAAAGAGUGGAAAGAAAAACUGAGAUGAGAUAUACAUAUUUUAGCUCACAGAAAAGAAAGAAAAAAUAGAACAAAUUCUUGGCUAGACAAAUAAAGUUAAUAGAGGAUUUAGAGAAGUAACUGAAACAACUGAAAAAUACACUUGAUUAUGAACACCAAGUGUUUUUUUUUUAGUUGUGCAAGUGGAAAGCAAGAAUUUCAAUUAUUAUUAUUAUAUCAACCCAUUAUUUACAUAGUCAUUUCUAGCCUAGAAAUAAAUGAAGUAAAUGCAUUUUUGAGAUGGACAUGGUCCUGUUCAAUUUAAAUUGGUCAUUUUGUUACAAAGAACAGCAGAUUCCAAACUCAUCUUGAAAUUAAUCCUUUUUCUCUUUCAAAUAAUUAUCAUUAAGAGCGCCAAACAGGUUCCAAGCUAUGGUGGCAAGAGGUUCCUAUAGAGUUAUUCCAAGGUUGUAUUUGCCCAAAGCAUUUUCCCAAAGGAUUGAGAAUACCUACGCCAUACAAAAUGAAAACACAGGAAAAUCUAUAUGCAGCCCAAUGCCACAUAUCCUUGAUUAGGUUACCUUGCAAAUUUACUGACUUCCAUGUACAACUACUCAUACCAAACACAGAUAAACUCCUCCAAGGCCCAGCACUUUCCAAUCCAACAACCCACUGGAUCUGGAUCAAAAAAAGUAACAUCAUACAGAAUAAGUUGAAUACAUCCAGGGGUUUCCCAAACUGAAAAAAUCACUUGAAAGGCCUUUUCAUGGAAAAACAAGGGUUCUUUGUGGAAAAAUUCUCUGGGAAUUAAAAAUAGAUGUUUAAAUGCAGAGGUGAGGAUUCUGAUGAAAAAAUAUGAUUUUACACUAACUAAAGAAACAAAGUGAAUGGGCUUAUCUAAUAAAGACAGCUGAAAUUUUGAAAACCUGGAUCUCUUGGAUCCAGACUUAUCCAAACCGAACCAAGAAUACUCUUCUUGUGGGUCUGGUGCAGUUUCGACAAAAAAAAAUAAAAAAUUGCAUUUUAUACUUAACAAUUUCCUGAAAACCUAUCCAAUAAAAACUAAGGUCUUUAAAACAAUUACUGUUGAGUUGUAAAUAGAAUAGGAGAAUUAUUUUCCUAUUAUGUUAGUUUCCUAUUUCUAUAAAUAGAUAGUUUUAUUAGUUUCCUAUUUCUGUAAAUAGAUAGUUUUAUGAUUUAGGAAUAAGUUAGUUUCUUAUUAUGUCUCUUGUUUCCUAUUUCUUUUCUUGUAAUCUCCUAUACAAACUGUGUGUAUAGUCAAUCUAAUAGACAAAACUUAUUAUUAUUAUUACUAUUAUUUUUAUUUUUUUAUCAGAAACGAAGAAAAUUAUAUUAAUAAAAGAACAAAUACAAGAGAGAAAAAAGAGACAAUAGAAAGAGAAAAAAACCAAGGGAAGGAUAAGAGGUCCUUCCUACACAAAUACCAAGGAAAAACACCCAACAAUAGAACUCUAAAAACAAAAGAAACCCCAUCAAUCUUCAAACUCUUGAGACGCAAACCCCAAUCCAAUUGAGUUGUAGAAUGCUUAGAGGAACUCCUCUAAAAGCUUCAAUACAAGAAGCCCAUAGAGAAGAAUAAAACCGGAUCAAAUCCCAAACCAUCUCUUCCGUUCUCCCUUUAUCCUCAAAGAUCCUUUUGUUUCUUUCUUGCCACACCAUCCAAAUCAAAGUAAGGCAAGCAAUUUGCCAAAGUGUCUUGCCUCUUAAUGAGUUUCCCAAGCCUUUAAAAGAAAUAACCAACAUGUCCUCAAGGCUCCUUGGAGGGACCCAAAUCAAACCUACUAGAUUGAACAACCUGUGCCAAAGUCCAAUGGUAAUGGGACAAUGAAGAAAAAGGUGGUCAAUCGACUCUCCAUUUCCUUUGCAAAGAAUGCAUCAUUGAGGAUAGAGGGCUUUGUAGGGUCUUCUCAAUUGCAACUUGUCAUUAGUGUUUAUCUUCCCAUGUGCUACUAACCAAGCGAGGGCCUUAACCUUUGAAGGGACUUUUGAGCUCCAUAAAAACUUGGCUGGAAGGAACAUUAAAGGAUUUGAAACUUUUGACAAGGCAUAGAAAAAAGAUUUCACUGAAAACGAGCCUGACGAAGACAAAGACCACACUCUUGAGUCUGAUGAAGAAGGGGAAAGAAGCACAAAAUUAAGGGAGGACAUUAAUCUCUGAAGGAGAUCAAUUUUUGAAUCUGUUAGAUUACGGCGAAAGUUAAAAUUCCAAGACAAUGGUAAGGAAUUGUCAAGGACAUUUGAGACAGUGAGGUUUUUCACAGAAAUAACUCUGUAGAGAUCAGCAAAUUGAGAACACAAAGUUUGGUUUCCCCACCAAAGAUCUUCCCAAAACCGAAUUCUCUCCCCAUUGCCCACCACUAGGCGGACAAAAGGGGAGAACUCCUGGAAAACUUGAGCAAUAGCCUUCCAAGGACAUCUGUGAGACCAUCUAACCACCAUGUUGGCGUCCCAUCCAUUAGGAUGUGUCCCAUAUAUACUCGCAAUAACCUUAUGCCAAAGAUCGCUCCUUUCUCUAGGGAACCUCCAGAGCCAUUUCCCUAAGAGGGCAAUAUUUCUCAUAGAAGUCUUCCCAAAGCCCAAACCUCCCAUCUCCUUUGGUCUACUAACAACCUCUCAUCUGAUUAGGUGAUCUUUCUUCCCUUCCCCGGCCCCAAACCAAAGAAAAUCCCUUUGCAUCUUCUCAAUCUUUGAAGCUAUAGAUACAGGGAUUUUGAAGAGGGAGAGGAAGUAGCUAGGGAUGUGAGACAGACAAGACUGAAUUAAAGUAAUCCUCCCUCCCAAAGACAAAUAGGCCUUUUUCCACCCAUCCAGCCUCCUCGAAAUUCUCUCAACCACUGGAUCCCAAAAGCCUAUUGUCUUUGGGUUCCCUCUCAAAGGAAGGCCUAAAUAAGACAAAGGCCACUCUGACACUCUACACUCCACAACCAAAGCCAAACUAGACAACACCUCCUGCCCAGUGUUAAUACCUGAAAUGGUGCUUUUUUCUAAGUUGAUUUUUAAACCAGAUACUUGCCCAAAAACCAAAAGGAUAAUCUUAAGGUUUUGAAGAAGGUCCAAAGAGGCUUUAGAGAAAAAUAUGGUAUCAUCAGCAAACUGUAACAAGGACACUCUAGUCCUAUCCCUCCCCACAAGGAAACCCUCAGUUAUCCCAGUUUCCUCAGCUCUAAUCAUCAACCUACUUAGAACAUCUGCUACUAGAGUAAAAAGGAAAGGAGAAAGAGGAUCUCCCUGUCUCAAACCUCUAAAGGCCUUAACCCAACCCUUUGCAUUCCCAUUAACUAGGAUUGCAAAACUAGAAGAAGAUAAACAGCCCCUCAUCCAAGAUCUCCAUUUCUGGCUGAACCCCUUCCUUUGAAGCACAUGAUCUAAAAAGCCCCAAUCCACAUGAUCAUAGGUCUUCUCAAAAUCAAUUUUGAAGACUACCCCUUCCUCCCUUGACCUUUUUUUCUCAUCCACCACUUCAUUGGCUAUCAAUACAGCAUCCAAAAUUUGUCUCCCUUCCACAAAGGCUCCUUGAGAGCCAAAGAUUGUUUCAUGUAGAACUUUGCGUAAACGCCCUGAUAAGACCUUAGCAAUUAUCUUAUAUAAACUUGUAACCAAACUAAUAGGUCUAUAAUCUGAGAUUUUAAAAGUUUGGCUUUUCUUAGGCACCAUAGCAAUGAAUGUCGCAUUUGUACUUUGAUUUAUUACCCCCUUAGUGUGGAACUCAAAAAACACCCUCAUUAGAUCCUCUUUUAUCACAUCCCAACACUCUUGAUAAACUGCUAUAGUAAAGCCAUCAGGGCUCAGGGCCUUUUCCUUAUUCAAUUGGAAAACUGCCAUUCGAACCUCCUCUUCAGAAAACGGUCUAUCCAACCAAAUUGCACUCUUUUCAGAAAUAAGGGCCCAAUCAAUCUCUUCAAUCUUCCAAGAGUCACCUUCGGGUUUGGAAUAGAGAUUCCCAAAGAAAUUUACAAUCUCCUCAGAAAUAAUCUCAAUGUUAUUUAAAGUCUCCCCCCUCUCAGAAAUCAGAGACUUUAUGAACUUCCUGCUUCUUCUUCCAGUGGCCACUCUGUGAAAAAACUUAGAGUUGCAAUCCCCUUCUUUAAUCCACUUAACCCUAGAUUUUUGUCUCCAUUGCACCUCUUCCUUCAAUAACAAAUCCUCUAGCUCCUUCCUUCUUAGGGUCCUUUCCGAAACCAGAUCAAGAUUUAAAUUCCCUUCUUGUUCAAUUCGAUCAAUUCUGCCUAAGUCCGUAAGAAUGCGCUUUUUCCUCUCUCUUAAAUCUCCAAAGACCACUAUAUUCCACUCUUUCAACUUUGAUUUAAUAAACUUUAGUUUCCUCAUAAACUUGUGACCUUCCCAACCUUCAACCGUACACUCUUGCCAC
rnacentral:lncRNA from 1 species